CAUCAGGGCAAACCCUGGGUUUUCGUGUCCAACUUUAACUGUCCGUCUUAUAUAAAUUUUUUUAUAAUCCGUAUUUUCAUUGUUGUUAGAUAAUAAAACAUGAUUAAUAUUUUAUGCGUGACUUGUCUUUUUAAUUUUUUUCAUAAUUUUUUUAAAUAAGACGGACGGUUAAACGUUGGACACGGAAAUCCGGGUUUGUCUUUUUU
rfam:Oryza sativa Japonica Group DNA, chromosome 7, cultivar: Nipponbare, complete sequence.